AGAAGUUCAGUUUAGAGUUGAAACCCUAAUACUGACUAACUGGGGAAAAGUUAAAUGAAGGGUUGGGGCCCUAAUACUGACCAAAUGGAAAAGUUCAGUUUAGGGUUUAAAACCCUAAUACUGACUGACGGAAAGAGUUCAGUUUAGGGUUUAAAACCGUAAUGCUGACUGAAUGGAAAAAGUUUAGUUUAGGGUUUAAAACCCUAAUACUGAUUAAAGGAAAGAGUUCAGUUUAGGGUUUUAAAACCCUAAUGCUGACUGAAGGAAAGAGUUCAGUUUAAGGUUUAAAACCCUAAUGCUGACUGAAUGGAAAAGGUUCAG
rnacentral:lncRNA from 1 species